UAUACGUGCAACCAUCAGAUUCUGCGUCUAACUUUGAUCGUCCAUCUUAUUUAAAAUUUUUAUAAUUACUAUUUGUUACGAGAUGUAUUUUACUUGUGACUUAUGUUUUUAAAUUUCUUUAAAAAAGUUUCAAAUACGACGAACGAAAAGUGAAAAGUUAGACGUGGAAAACCAUGGCUGCACUUAAA
rfam:Oryza sativa (indica cultivar-group) chromosome 11, whole genome shotgun sequence.